rnacentral:pre_miRNA from 1 species
GAGUGUAUAACAUGAAGAGAAGAGCGUUGUUUGGUAGCCAAGGAUGACUUGCCUGCUMCCUCUCCUAAUUCUAAUCCAAUCCAAUCCAAGAGGAGUCCUACGUUGUUGGGUUUCCCAGCAGCAGGCACCAGGCAGGUCUCCUUUGGCUAACUUGACAGCCUCUUCUUCUCAUGCUAUACCCUU